rnacentral:rRNA from 1 species
UGCAGUCGAGCGCGGGAAGCCGUCGGAUCUCUUCGGAGUGACGACGGUGGAACGAGCGGCGGACGGGUGAGUAACACGUGGGCAACCUGCCUUGCAGACUGGGAUAACCCCGGGAAACCGGGGCUAAUACCGGAUGACCAUCAAGAUCGCAUGAUCCUGAUGUAAAAGUGGGGACUUGUUCCUCACACUGCGAGAUGGGCCCGCGGCGCAUUAGCUGGUUGGAGAGGUAAGAGCUCCCCAAGGCGACGAUGCGUAGCCGACCUGAGAGGGUGAUCGGCCACACUGGGACUGAGACACGGCCCAGACUCCUACGGGAGGCAGCAGUAGGGAAUCAUCCGCAAUGGGCGAAAGCCUGACGGUGCAACGCCGCGUGAGUGACGAAGGUUUUCGGAUCGUAAAGCUCUGUUAUCAGGGAAGAACACGUGCCGGUCGAACAGGCCGGCGCCAUGACGGUACCUGAUCAGAAAGCCCCGGCUAACUACGUGCCAGCAGCCGCGGUAAUACGUAGGGGGCAAGCGUUGUCCGGAAUUAUUGGGCGUAAAGCGCGCGCAGGCGGUUUCUUAAGUCUGAUGUGAAAGCCCACGGCUCAACCGUGGAGGGUCAUUGGAAACUGAGGAACUUGAGUGCAGGAGAGGAGAGUGGAA